GACGAACGCUGGCGGCGUGCCUAUACAUGCAAGUCGCACGAGAGCAACCGGUGCUUGCACUGGUCAAUCUAGUGGCGAACGGGUGAGUAACACGUGGGUAACCUGCCCAUCAGAGGGGGAUAACAUCCGGAAACGGAUGCUAAAACCGCAUAGGUCUUCGAACCGCAUGGUUUGAAGAGGAAAAGAGGCGCAAGCUUCUGCUGAUGGAUGGACCCGCGGUGCAUUAGCUAGUUGGUGAGGUAACGGCUCACCAAGGCCGUGAUGCAUAGCCGACCUGAGAGGGUGAUCGGCCACAUUGGGACUGAGACACGGCCCAAACUCCUACGGGAGGCAGCAGUAGGGAAUCUUCCGCAAUGGACGCAAGUCUGACGGAGCAACGCCGCGUGAGCGAAGAAGGUUUUCGGAUCGUAAAACUCUGUUGUUAGAGAAGAACAAGUGCUAGAGUAACUGUUAGCGCCUUGACGGUAUCUAACCAGAAAGCCACGGCUAACUACGUG
rnacentral:rRNA from 1 species